GUUCCUUGGAAAAGGACAGCUGAGAGGGUGAGACUCCCGUCCGCCUGGCUGAGUGAGUCAUUUGUCAACGAGUCGAGUUGUUUGGGAUUGCAGCUCUAAUUUGGUGGUAAAUUCCAUCUAAAGCUAAAUAUUGGUGGGAGACCGAUAGCGUACAAGUACCGUGAGGGAAAGAUGCAAAGAACUUUGAAAAGAGAGUUAAAGAGUACCUGAAACUGCUGAAACGGAAGCGAAGGAAACCAGUGUUUGUUUGUUCAUAUUUCCCUAGCCACUUGUGGUUUGGGCGCUGUGAGCUUGCGUGAGUUUGGGUUGGUUGAUCCCUUUGGAAGAGCGCAGUCAGAGUUGAUGUCU
rnacentral:rRNA from 1 species